CUGGGAUUAGCGCAACUUGAAAGCGCGCCGCGUUCGGGACACGGAGGUCGUGAGUUCGAAUCCCGCAUCCCCGA
rnacentral:tRNA from 1 species